rnacentral:rRNA from 1 species
UAAUACGAAGGGGGCUAGCGUUGCUCGGAAUUACUGGGCGUAAAGCGCACGUAGGCGGACCGAUAAGUCGGGGGUGAAAUCCUGGAGCUCAACUCCAGAACUGCCUUCGAAACUGCCGGUCUUGAGUUCGGGAGAGGUGAGUGGAACUGCGAGUGUAGAGGUGAAAUUCGUAGAUAUUCGCAAGAACACCAGUGGCGAAGGCGGCUCACUGGCCCGAUACUGACGCUGAGGUGCGAAAGCGUGGGGAGCAAACAGG